CAAAGAUAGGAAGAGUAUUUUUGUUGGGAUUGACUGUAUUUCUGUGUGAUUUUCUAAAAAUGAUUUCAAAUUCAUUUCAGACGUGGGAUCAAAGCAACAUUCUUACUGGUACCAUUAUUUGGUAUUCAGCUAUUCUUUAUUAUCUACCGACCGCCAGAGGAAACAGCAUACAGAUUUCCAUACGAAGUUAUUUCAAAAUUCAUUAUUGAUUCUCAGGGAACAUUAGUAUCGCUGGUCUUUUGUUAUAUGAAUUCAGAGGUACAUUCAUCUUUGAAACAUUUUUGGCAUGUCACUGAAUUACCCUGUACUCGUGGAAACCAACGAGAUUUUGUGAACAAUUUCUCCACCAGUCACCUAUCGCUUACAAACAUUCGUUCACAUAUUCAAAUGAAUGGAUAUAACAAAGCUUUCAAACCUAAGAAGGCUAUCAAAACAGAUGACAAAACACGUGAAUAUGUAUUUUCGUAAAACAACCUAACCAAUGUUAUCAGGCAUUAACGAUUUUCAUUCCCGAUAUUUGCUAGACGCCUUUAAACAUGUUUUGUGCACACAUAAAUCAUAUCAUUUAUAUUAAUUUAUUCUAAAAAUUGCCACUAUUUAUGAAAACCAAUCCAAGGUUUAAUAUUCCAACAACGAUUGUUAAGGAAGUGAAGAAACGAUGAGUCGAGAUAAUUUGAAGAAGAAAAACGGUUCAAAGACAACGAGCAACAGUAGACUGAAUGAAAAAAAUACCAUUAGUAUAACAAGGGUUCAGAAGACUAACAUGAACUAACGAGUGAAAAAAUGAUACAAAUUAUAUAUGUAGUAUAAAGUACAAGCAGGUCAUCAAAACAACUCUUGAACGCCGAUGACUCAUUUCUCUGUUGAAAACCUCUACGUGCAUCUUGGAACAAACAUGACAUUGUAGAAACAAUAACAUUUAAUAAAGCGCUAUUAACAUAAAUAAGAAAGGAUUGACAAAAAGCAAUUACUACUACUGCUACUAAUUGCUAAUGUUAGGUUUGACUGAGGGAGUUAUAAUAAAGGACGAACAAAAUAAUUGAGGACUUGUAAACACAGGUGCUCAAAAUUGUAUUUAAAGCAGUUUGUCAAUUUUUUCUACACCAUUAACAACAUCUUAUUCAAUGCAACCUGAAAUAUUUGUGAUGUAAAAAAUAUAUAUAUUUUUAUAGGUUUCGGAUUAUUUCUGAUACAGUUUUAAUUCGGUGGAUUAUGAAAAUACAUAUUCUUUAACAUCUCCAUUGAUAUGAACGGUUUUCUCAAAUUUAGGACCAUUAUAACAUCCAUUUUUUUGGCUUGUUUGGCGUAUUGAAGACAUAUGUGUCGCAGACUGGUUCUUAGAGAUACUUUUCUUUGUUUUAUACGGAAACUGUAAAUGGAUUACACGAAGCUGGUACUUUAAUGCUGU